rnacentral:rRNA from 1 species
GACGAACGCUGGCGGCGUGCCUAAUACAUGCAAGUCGAACGCAGUGGGGACGGGUGAGUAACCCGUGGGUAACCUCCCAUCAGAGGGGAUAACACUUGGAAACAGGUGCUAAACCGAUACUGAUGGAUGGACCCGGGGUGCAUUAGGUAGUUGGUGGGGGGACGGCUCACCAAGGCCACGAAGCAUAGCGGACCUGAGGGGGGGUUGGGCGACACUGGGACUGGGAACCGGCCCAGACUCCUACGUGAGGCAGCAGUAGGGAAUCUUCGGCAAUGUACGAAAGUCUGAACGAGCAACGCCGCGUGAGUGAAGAAGGUUUUCGGAUCGUAAAACGCUGUUGUUAGAGAAGCGGUAUCUAACCAGAAAGCCACGGCUAACUACGUGCCAGCAGCCGCGGUAAUAC